rnacentral:rRNA from 1 species
UACGGAGGGGGGCUAGCGUUUGUUCGGAAUUACUGGGCGUAAAGCGCACGUAGGCGGCUUUGUAAGUUAGAGGUGAAAGCCCAGGGCUUAACCCUGGAAUUGCCUUUAAGACUGCAUCGCUAGAAUUGUGGAGAGGUAAGUGGAAUUCCGAGUGUAGAGGUGAAAUUCGUAGAUAUUCGGAAGAACACCAGUGGCGAAGGCGACUCACUGGCCCGAUACUGACGCUGAGGCGCGAAAAGCGUGGGGGAGCGAACAGG